GACCUGUGGUUUUAUAACAUGAGAGAAGAAAAUGCCUGUUGAAAAGAAAAUUCCCAUGGUAGAUCUGAGUAAAAUCUUUCCACUUAUAUGAAUGAUCCAAAUCCCUUGGAAAGAAGAGGUUUCUGCCCAGAUUCAGCAGUUCAAUGAAUGGCAGUGGAUUAAACCCUAUUGACACAUAUGAUAAAGCAAUACUGAAGAAAUUGCUUGAGAUUCAAG
rnacentral:lncRNA from 1 species